rnacentral:rRNA from 1 species
CAGUAGCCGCGGUAAUACGUAGGUGGCAAGCGUUGUCCGGAAUUAUUGGGCGUAAGGCGCGCGCAGGUGGUUUAAUAAGUCUGAUGUGAAAGCCCACGGCUCAACCGGGGAGGGUCAUUGGAAACUGGGAAACUUGAGUGCAGAAGAGGAGAGAGGAAUUCCACGUGUAGCGGUGAAAUGCGUAGAGAUGUGGAGGAACACCAGUGGCGAAGGCGACUCUCUGUCUGUAACUGACGCUGAGAAGCGAAAGCGUGGGGAGCGAACAGGAUUAGAUACCCCCGUAGUCCCUGUCUCUUAUACA